rnacentral:rRNA from 1 species
GAUGAACGCUAGCGGCAGGCCUAAUACAUGCAAGUCGAGGGGCAGCGCGGUAGCAAUACUGGCGGCGACCGGCGCACGGGUGCGUAACACGUAUGCAACCUACCUUCAACUGGAGGAUAGCCCGGGGAAACUCGGAUUAAUACUCCAUAACACAGGGAUCCCGCAUGGGAAUAUUGUUAAAGCUACGGCGGUUGAAGAUGGGCAUGCGUUCGAUUAGCUAGUUGGUGUAGGUAACGGCUCACCAAGGCUACGAUCGAUAGGGGGUCUGAGAGGAUGAUCCCCCCACACCUGGUACUGAGAUACGGACCAGACUCCUACGGGAGGCAGCAGUAGGGAUAUGGUCAAUGGG